CAGGGACUCUACAAGGUGUUGAAAGCCUUCCACAGGGACUCUACAAGGUGUUAAAAGCCUUCCACAGGGACUCUACAAGGUGUUAAAAGCCUUCCACAGGGACUCUACAAGGUGUUAAAAGCCUUCCACAGGGACUCUACAAGGUGUUGAAAGCCUUCCACAGGGAUACUGGUCCAUGUUGACUCCAAUACUUCCCACAGUUGUGUCAAGUUGGCUGGAUGUCCUUUGGGUGGUGGACCAUACUUGAUACACACAGGGAAACUGUUCAGCGUGAAAACUCCAGCAGCGUUGCAGUUCUUGACACACCCCAUUUAAAAGGCACUUAAAUAUUGAUUUCUUGCCCGUUCACCCUCUGAAUGGCACACGAACACAAUCCAUGUCUCAAUUGUCUCAACUCUUAAAAAGACCUUUCACCUGACUCCUCCCCUUCAUCUACACUGAUUGAAGUGGAUUUAACAA
ensembl:lncRNA